UAGUAUGUGAGAAUCGCAUGGUUUUCACAUUAAAGUUCCACGGUAAAAGAUGAGCAUGNGUCCCAUUAGCUAGAUGGUAAGGUAACGGCUUACCAUGGCGACGAUGGGUAGGGGUCCCUGAGAGGGAGAUCCCCCACACUGGUACUGAGACACGGACCAGACUCCUACGGGAGGCAGCAGUGAGGAAUAUUGGGCAAUGGGCGCUAGCCUGACCCAGCCAUGCCGCGUGCAGGAAGACGGUCCUAUGGAUUGUAAACUGCUUUGUACGGGAAGAAACCCUAUUACGUGUAAUAGAUUGACGGUACCGUACGAAUAAGGAUCGGCUAACUCCGUG
rnacentral:rRNA from 1 species